rnacentral:rRNA from 1 species
CCUACGGGUGGCAGCAGUGAGGAAUAUUGGUCAAUGGGCGGGAGCCUGAACCAGCCAAGCCGCGUGAAGGAAGAAGGCCCUACGCGUUGUAAACUUCUUUUGUAGGGGAAUAAAGGGAGCCACGUGUGCCGUUGUGAAUGUACCCUAUGAAUAAGGAUCGGCUAACUCCGUGCCAGCAGCCGCGGUAAUACGGAGGAUUCGAGCGUUAUCCGGGUUUAUUGGGUUUAAAGGGUGCGUAGGCGGGCGGGUAAGUCAGGGGUGAAAGGCCGGGGCUCAACCGCGGGAUUGCCUUUGAUACUGUUAGACUAGAGAGGAGGUGCGGUAGGCGGAAUGCGUGGUGUAGCGGUGAAAUGCUUAGAUAUCAUGCAGAACUCCGAUUGCGAAGGCAGCGUACCAGACUGCGACUGACGCUGAGGCACGAAAGCGUGGGUAUCAAACAGGAUUAGAUACCCGUGUAGUC